rnacentral:tRNA from 1 species
UAGCUCAGACGGUAAAGCAUCUGCCUGCAAUGCAGGAGACCAGGGUUCGACUCCUGG